GGGGAUUUAGUUCAGUGGUAGAGCGCUUGCCUAGCAAGUGCAAGGCCCUGGGUUCGGUUCCCAGCUCCG
rnacentral:tRNA from 1 species